UCAGGAUGAACGCUAGCUACAGGCUUAACACAUGCAAGUCGAGGGAAACGAUAUAGAAGCUUGCUUCUUAGGCGUCGACCGGCGAAUGGGUGAGUAACGCGUAUCCAACCUGCCCCUGAGUAAGGGAUAGCCCAUCGAAAGAUGGAUUAAUACCUUAUGGUCUCCUUUGCAGACAUCUAAUUAGGAGUAAAGAUUUAUCGCUGAGGGAUGGGGAUGCGUCUGAUUAGCUUGUUGGCGGGGUAACGGCCCACCAAGGCAACGAUCAGUAGGGGUUCUGAGAGGAAGGUCCCCCACAUUGGUACUGAGACACGGGCCAAACUCCUACGGGAGGCAGCAGUGAGGAAUAUUGGUCAAUGGACGGAAGUCUGAACCAGCCAAGUAGCCGUGCAGGAAGACUGCCCUAUGGGUUGUAAACUGCUUUUAUACGGGGAUAAAGUCAGGGUCGUGACCCUGUUUGCAGGUACCGUAUGAAUAAGGACCGGCUAAUUCCGUGCCAGCCGCUGC
rnacentral:rRNA from 1 species